rnacentral:rRNA from 1 species
CUACGGGGGGCUCCAGUGGGGAAUAUUGGACAAUGGGCGAAAGCCUGAUCCAGCAAUGCCGCGUGAGUGAUGAAGGCCUUAGGGUUGUAAAGCUCUUUUACCAGGGAUGAUAAUGACAGUACCUGGAGAAUAAGCUCCGGCUAACUCCGUGCCAGCAGCCGCGGUAAUACGGAGGGAGCUAGCGUUGUUCGGAAUUACUGGGCGUAAAGAGUACGUAGGCGGUUAUUCAAGUCAGAGGUGAAAGCCUGGAGCUCAACUCCAGAACUGCCUUUGAAACUAGAUAGCUAGAAUUAUGGAGAGGUUAGUGGAAUUCCGAGUGUAGAGGUGAAAUUCGUAGAUAUUCGGAAGAACACCAGUGGCGAAGGCGACUAACUGGACAUAUAUUGACGCUGAGGUACGAAAGCGUGGGGAGCAAACAGGAUUAGAUACCCGUGUAGUC